rnacentral:rRNA from 1 species
CCUACGGGAGGCAGCAGUCGAGAAUCAUUCACAAUGGGGGAAACCCUGAUGGUGCGACGCCGCGUGGGGGAAUGAAGGUCUUCGGAUUGUAAACCCCUGUCAUGUGGGAGCAAAUUAAAAAGAUAGUACCACAAGAGGAAGAGACGGCUAACUCUGUGCCAGCAGCCGCGGUAAUACAGAGGUCUCAAGCGUUGUUCGGAAUCACUGGGCGUAAAGCGUGCGUAGGCGGUUUCGUAAGUAGUGUGUGAAAGGCGCGGGCUCAACCCGCGGACGGCACAUGAUACUGCGAGACUAGAGUAAUGGAGGGGGAACGGGAAUUCUCGGUGUAGCAGUGAAAUGCGUAGAUAUCGAGAGGAACACUCGUGGCGAAGGCGGGUUACUGGACAUUAACUGACGCUGAGGCACGAAGGCCAGGGGAGCGAAAGGGAGUAGAUACCCCAGUAGUC